rnacentral:rRNA from 1 species
GACGAACGCUGGCGGCGUGCUUAACACAUGCAAGUCGAACGGAAAGGCCCUGCUUUUGUGGGGUUCUCGAUUGGCGAGCGGGGGAGUGACACGUGUGUAACCUGCACUUGACUUUGGGAUAACAUCACGAAACUGGGGAUAUUACCGGAUAUGAGCUCCUGCUGCGUGGGGGUGGUAGGAAAGUGUCGGCGGUUGGGGAUGGACUGGAGGCUUAUCAGCUGGAUGGGGGGGUAGGUGCUGACCAGGGCUGUGAAGGGUAGGCGGCCUGGGAGGGUGACCGGGCACAUUGGGACUGAGGGAGGGACCAGACUGCUACGGGAGGCAGUAGUGGGGAACAUGGCGGAGUGGGCGGAAGCGAGAUGCAGAAACCCCGCGUGCGGGAUACCCUCUUUCGGGUUGUAAACCGAUGUCGACUGAGACGAAGCGUGCGUGACGGUAACGGGUAAGGAAGCACCGGCUAACUACGUG